rnacentral:rRNA from 1 species
UACAGAGGGCGCGAGCGUUGUCCGGAAUCACUGGGCGUAAAGAGCGCGCAGGCGGUCGUUCAAGUCGCGUGUGAAAGCCCCCGGCUCAACUGGGGAGGGUCACGCGAUACUGAUCGACUCGAAGGCAGGAGAGGGUAGUGGAAUUCCCGGUGUAGUGGUGAAAUGCGUAGAUAUCGGGAGGAACACCAGUGGCGAAGGCGACUACCUGCCUGUUCUGACGCUGAGGCGCGUGAAAGCUAGGGCAACG